rnacentral:tRNA from 1 species
GGGCCCGUAGCUCAGCCAGGUAGAGCGGCGGGCUCUUAACCCGUAGGCCGCGACGCCUAGCCGCGGGCGGAAGUCCCGGGUUCGAAUCCCGGCGGGCCCG